rnacentral:rRNA from 1 species
CCAAUAGCGUAUAUUAAAGUUGUUGUGGUUAAAAAGCUCGUAGUUGAACCUUGGGCCUGGCUGGCCGGUCCGCCUCACCGCGUGUACUGGUCCGGCCGGGCCUUUCCCUCUGUGGAACCCCAUGCCCUUCACUGGGCGUGGCGGGGAAACAGGACUUUUACUGUGAAAAAAUUGGAGUGCUCCAGGCAGGCCUAUGCUCGAAUACAUUAGCAUGGAAUAAUAGAAUAGGACGUGUGGUUCUAUUUUGUUGGUUUCUAGGACCGCCGUAAUGAUUAAUAGGGACAGUCGGGGGCAUCAGUAUUCAAUUGUCAGAGGUGAAAUUCUUGGAUUUAUUGAAGACUAACUACUGCGAAAGCAUUUGCCAAGGAUGUUUUCAUUAAUCAGGAACGAAAGUUAGGGGAUCGAAGACGAUCAGAUACCGUCGUAGUCUUAACCAUAAACUAUGCCGACUAGGGAUCGGACGGUGUUAUUUUUUGACCCGUUCGGCACCUUACG